UACGUAGGUGGCAAGCGUUGUUCGGAAUUAUUGGGCGUAAAGGGCGCGUAGGCGGCUUGUUAAGUCAGUUGUGAAAGUCCGGGGCUCAACCUCGGAUCGGCCGUGGCGACUCGUGGGCUGGAGCACUGUAGAGGCGGGUGGAAUUCCGGGUGUAGCGGUGGAAUGCGUAGAGAUCCGGAAGAACACCAGUGGCGAAGGCGGCCCGCUGGGCAGUGGCUGACGCUGAGGCGCGACAGCGUGGGGAGCAAACAGG
rnacentral:rRNA from 1 species